rnacentral:lncRNA from 1 species
GAAUUAUUUUGCUGCAAACAUAUAACCUAUUCUGCAUUGGAAAACAUUAACUGCCAAUUUGAUUGACUGCAUAAGUUGCUUAAAUGAGUUAUUUUGGUGCUAUUUGGAUUAACUUUUAGUAUUUAGUCAUUUGCACUAUGAAGAAAAAAGCCAGUGAAAAUGAGGUAUGAUGGCUCCAUACUAAUUUGCAAGUAGGCCCUGGAGGUCCCACCCCACUCACUUCUCUGGUCUUUUACCCUCUACUUCCCUUCACUCAUCCAGCGUUCACUUCAUGCUGGACCUUUACCGUGCCAAGCGCGCCCCACCUUAGGACCUUCACACAGGCUGAGGCAGGAGGAUCCCUUGAGCCCAGGAGUUCAAGACUGUAGGGCAUCAUGAUUACAUCUGUGAAUUGCCACUGCACACCAGCCUGGACAACAUAGCAAGACCCUGUCUGUAAAACAAAAACAAAGAACUAAUUAAAAAUAAAAAAGAGAGAAUGUCAGCAAAAGAGGAAGGAAUACGCAUUAGGCUCAGGACUCCAAUCUUCAUUUUCUGCAUUUUCAGAGCGGGCAUGGUUGCUACGAUUUGCUCAGGGUCGUUGUCAAGUCACCUUGCAAGAUAACAGCCUGCUGAGUCACCGCUAGCACCUAGACUUACUUUCAGCAAGGAGUCCAACACUACUAGCGGAAAUCCUGUGCCUCUAACAAGCUCAGCCUCUCUGUGGGGCGUUCUUCGGGAUCCAUCCGCAGGAGCGCCUGUCCUUUGGGAGGAAGAAGAGCCCACUGGGGUCAUUUGCCUUGGUCUGCUCUCUUCGCUAGAUCCACCUAAAGGGUCCUGCAGAUCUUUGAGCAUUAAGACAAAACCUCUGUCCUGAAAGACUUCGUGAGCUGGUCCUGAGAGACUGUGGCCAAUGCCAGUGUGUUAUCAAUUUCUGAAAUCCGAACUUCAGAAUGAAGGGAAGGGGGUCAAAAGCCUGCCUCAGGGUGUCAGGCAAACCUGAAUAUGAGAGCUGUGAGUUUGUUUUGUUGUUUAGUUGAUUGGGGCUGUGGUUGUGGGCAUGGUGGUGUAACACAUUAUUUCUUCUGGUCUACCUUUGCUCCCUUCCCUCCCUAAGUUACAGAAAUAACACAUGCUUGUUUGAACGUGCAUUUGCUACAACAAGCAUGUGGUUUUUUUGUAUCUUAAAAUAAUACCAAAGGAAAUAAAAGUUUUUCCCUUACCCCAUCAUUAUCCCUCCAAGGUAACCAUGUUAACAGACUGGUAUGUGACCCUCCACACCUUUUCUCACACUUACACAACACAUACCAACAAAAGUACAUAGCUGGGGCUGGGCGUGGUGGGUCACGCCUGUAAUCCCAGCACUUUGGGAGGCCAAGAUGGGCAGAUCACGAGGUCGGGACAUCGAGAC